AAUGUUUGAUGCCGUUGACUUUUUAGCACAUGUUUGACCGUUCGUCUUAUUCAAAAAAUUUAAGUAAUUAUUAAUUCUUUUCCUAUCAUUUGAUUCAUUGUUAAAUAUAUUUUUAUGUAGACAUAUAAUUUUACAUAUUUCAAAAAAGUUUUUGAAUAAGACGAAUGGUCAAACAUGUGCUAAAAAGUCAACGGUGUCAAACAUU
rfam:Oryza sativa Japonica Group DNA, chromosome 10, cultivar: Nipponbare, complete sequence.